GAUGAAGAACGUAGCGAAAUGCGAUAAGUAAUGUGAAUUGCAGAAUUCAGUGAAUCAUCGAAUCUUUGAACGCACAUUGCGGCCCCUGGUAUUCCGGGGGGCAUGCCUGUCCGAGCGUCAUUACAACCCUCAAGCUCAGCUUGGUGUUGGGCCCCGCCGCCCCGGCGGGCCCUAAAGUCAGUGGCGGUGCCGUCCGGCUCCGAGCGUAGUAAUUCUUCUCGCUCUGGAGGUCCGGUCGUGUGCUCGCCAGCAACCCCCAAUUUUUUUCAGGUUGACCUCGGAUCAGGUAGGGAUACCCGCUGAACUUAAGCAUAUCAAUAAGCGGAGGA
rnacentral:misc_RNA from 1 species